AUUGAACGCUGGCGGCAUGCCUUACACAUGCAAGUCGAACGGCAGCACGGGUGCUUGCACCUGGUGGCGAGUGGCGAACGGGUGAGUAAUACAUCGGAACGUACCUUAUCGUGGGGGAUAACGCAGCGAAAGCUGUGCUAAUACCGCAUACGCCCUGAGGGGGAAAGCGGGGGAUCGAAAGACCUCGCGCGAUUAGAGCGGCCGAUGCCUGAUUAGCUUGUUGGUGGGGUAAGAGCCCACCAAGGCGACGAUCAGUAGCUGGUCUGAGAGGACGAUCAGCCACACUGGAACUGAGACGCGGCCCAGACUCCUACGGGAGGCAGCAGUGGGGAAUUUUGGACAAUGGGGGCAACCCUGAUCCAGCAAUGCCGCGUGAGUGAAGAAGGCCUUCGGGUUGUAAAGCUCUUUUGUCAGGGAAGAAACACCGGCUCUAACACAGUCCGGGAAUGACGGUACCUGAAGAAUAAGCACCGGCUAACUACGUGCCAGCAGCCGCGGUAA
rnacentral:rRNA from 1 species